rnacentral:rRNA from 1 species
UAUUGAAUUGCCAGAAGUUGUCUUAACCUUAUCAUUUAGAGGAAGGUGAAGUCGUAACAAGGUUUCCGUAGGUGAACCUGCGGAAGGAUCA